ensembl:lncRNA
GUCUUUCUGUUUCUAGGUGGAAGCUGAAUUAGUGAGGAUGACUCCUGCUCCUGUCAUCUCUAAGCUCCUCACACAUCUUUACCUGCACAUGAGGAAAAUCACUCCUGUAGAAUGCAGUGGUUCAUCAGAACCUCUGGGGAUGUCCUGUGGAUUCUGUGGAUCCUGUGGGUUGCAGGGUGGGUCCUACCUAGACCAGGCUGAUCCUGGACCAUCCCACAGAUGCUCCAUCAGAUCUGGAUGUGGGGAGUGUGGAACCCAGAUGUUCAGAGGGAGAUGAUGCCACAUCUGGUCCAGCUGAUGGAAGGUCUUGAAGUUCUCUGACUGGCCUCGACUGAAGAUGGUCGUCUCACUGGAUUUAAGGUUCAGAUACUCAGUAACAAACUCCACCAAUGAGCCAACAGGGAAGCUUUAGGUUUAUUAAAUGUUGCUAUGAAGGUAUCACUGUUUUUCUUUGUGAAUGCAAUGAGCUCCAACUGAAACUUGAAUUAGAACUUAGAAGUAAAUCCUUCCAUCUGAAAGGAUUUAGUUGCAUUAAUAACCUCAUAACAGUCUAAUUUUUAUUCCAGUCUUGGUUGGAAAUAGAAUCUCUGUAUUGAUUCAGGUAAAAACUGAACUUCACAGCAUGUUGGAGCAAAACAACCAGAUGAAAACUGUGAUGGUGUUGGAUUGUCAGACCGUAAUGUUGCAGCUCAAAGCAGCUUUUCUAGCUCAGUUCAUUCUGACAUUCAGCUAUGAAUCAACACAGCAGAUGGUGAUCCAUGCUGUGGAAGUCUCACAUCUCCUGAUUUAAUGGAGCUGCUUUGCACUUUUUACACUGUUUAUUCACCAACACUUUAUUUAAUAAAAGUCCCAUCUAGUUUUUAUGAGGAAUGUGAUGUUUUAAUUUCUCUGUGAAUAACUGCAGUCUAAUGCAACAGCUGGAGUUGUAACAUCUGUCCUGAUAUUGAUCAUGAAAUAUUGAUCAGAAUACUUAUGGUCAGCAGUCAUCCCUGAAGUUUUACAUUAAAAUUGUGUGGAGGAAUUUAGUCUCACAAUCACAGACAAUAAAUAUUAUCUGAAAGUCGGGUUAUUGUUGUUUAUCAGCACAAUACAAAAAGAUUAAUGUUAGAAAUAUUCCAGUUAAGACCCUAGAAUAUCAUGAUUUAUGUAAAUUUACCUCAAUAAUAUGAAUGUUCAGGUUAAGAUUGUGCAGUGAUAUUUAUUAUGUAAGUUUAGCUGAUUAAAGUUUAUGACUCUGCACUAAAAUAUUAUUUAAAUUGACAUCAUUAUUAUAAUAUUUAGGGUCAGACCCUACAGUAUUGAGAUUAAGAAAUCAAAUAUUCUAUAAAAUAUAAAUACGCUGAACUCAUUUGGAUAUAUUUAAGUGAGAUUCUACAAUAUUCUUUGACACAAAUCUAUCUAAAUCAAAAUUUUAAUCAUUUUUACUCCAAACAUUUACUGGACUGAUUUAAACAUUAAAAUCACUCCUUUCUAAUCCUCUGCUGUAUGUUCAAACCUGAGGCCUGAAAUAGAAACACACAAGUAUCUGAUUGAAGGAACUUCUGCAGAGUCCUGGUUCCAGAACAUGAUGAUAGAAUUAUAGACAAACUUUAACAAAAGGUGCCUGAGAGUUUACAGGUUUUUAUGUUAGAUUUCUUCAGUAAUUUAAUGAGAGUUAUCAGCAAAAAUCAAGUGUUCAUUUGAUGAACUUCAUUUCCUAAAACAUCCAGAAUUGGAGCUCAUAUGUUUGGCAGCUGUAAAGUUUCUGCUCCUUCAAAGUUCACAAGACAAUGAAUGAAUUCCUAAAACAC